AUUGAACGCUGGCGGCAGGCCUAACACAUGCAAGUCGAGCGGUAGCACAGAGAGCUUGCUCUCGGGUGACGAGCGGCGGACGGGUGAGUAAUGUCUGGGAAACUGCCUGAUGGAGGGGGAUAACUACUGGAAACAGUAGCUAAUACCGCAUAACGUCGCAAGACCAAAGAGGGGAACCUUCGGACCUCUUGCCAUCAGAUGGGCCCAGAUGGGAUUAGCUAGUAGGUGGGGUAACGGCGCACCUAGGCGACGAUCCCUAGCUGGUCUGAGAGGAUGACCAGCCACACUGGAACUGAGACACGGUCCAGACUCCUACGGGAGGCAGCAGUGGGGAAUAUUGCACAAUGGGCGCAAGCCUGAUGCAGCCAUGCCGCGUGUAUGAAGAAGGCCUUCGGGUUGUAAAGUACUUUCAGCGGGGAGGAAGGUGUUGAGGUUAAUAACCUCAGCAAUUGACGUUACCCGCAGAAGAAGCACCGGCUAACUCCGUGCCAGCCGCCGCGGUAA
rnacentral:rRNA from 1 species